rnacentral:rRNA from 1 species
CACGUAGGGGGCAAGCGUUUGUCCGGAUUUAUUGGGCGUAAAGAGCUCGUAGGUGGUUCGGUAAGUCAGGUGUGAAACCUCCAGGCUCAACCUGGAGACGCCACUUGAUACUGCUGUGACUGGAGUCCGGUAGGGGAGCGUGGAAUUCCUGGUGUAGCGGUGAAAUGCGCAGAUAUCAGGAGGAACACCAGCGGCGAAGGCGGCGCUCUGGGCCGGUACUGACACUGAGGAGCGAAAGCGUGGGGAGCGAACAGG